rnacentral:rRNA from 1 species
CGAACGCUGGCGGCGUGCCUAAUACAUGCAAGUAGAACGCUGAAGGAGGAGCUUGCUCUUCUGGAUGAGUUGCGAACGGGUGAGUAACGCGUAGGUAACCUGCCUGGUAGCGGGGGAUAACUAUUGGAAACGAUAGCUAAUACCGCAUAACAGUAGAUGUUGCAUGACAUUUACUUAAAAGGUGCAAUUGCAUCACUACCAGAUGGACCUGCGUUGUAUUAGCUAGUUGGUGGGGUAACGGCUCACCAAGGCGACGAUACAUAGCCGACCUGAGAGGGUGAUCGGCCACACUGGGACUGAGACACGGCCCAGACUCCUACGGGAGGCAGCAGUAGGGAAUCUUCGGCAAUGGACGGAAGUCUGACCGAGCAACGCCGCGUGAGUGAAGAAGGUUUUCGGAUCGUAAAGCUCUGUUGUAAGAGAAGAACGAGUGUGAGAGUGGAAAGUUCACACUGUGACGGUAUCUUACCAGAAAGGGAUGGCUAACUACGUG